GAUAAAAUGGCUGAGUUAAAGGCAAUAAAUUGUAAAUUUAUUAACGAGUUAAUCUCUUUUAUCA
rnacentral:tRNA from 1 species